CCAAGGACUGCCUGAGCCACGGUGGGGCCAAAGCUGCUGUCAAUUGCCAUAGAUUAAGCGAAAUAGCAGAUAAAACGACCACCGAUUGUGUAGUUCACGCUGUCAUUUGUACAUUCCUAGCUCUUGGUUUGAUAAAGGGGUUUCCACAGCACCGUUUACAUUUAAUAUGAAUCCUUUGUUGAGGGUGGGGCUACUUUCUCAGGUAACUGAAAUUCUAUAUCAGUAGGCUCUGAUUACAGCAUGGUAACCAGGAAGUGAGGUAAGUAGGGAUAGUUUUAGAAUCCUGAAUAUCUCUCUGGCCUUGAUUUGUCAUAUUUGUGUUUUGUAUCACUGGGUCUCAGGAUGAGGGGAUACAUUUCAAAUGUCUCGUGGGCUUGUCCUAAGGCCCAGAUAAGGACCAGCACAACCCUGCUUCUCUUGCAGACCAGGCAUAAGACUGACCCCCAGAGUCCCAGUUGGUCCCUCUUUCUCCCCUGAUCUAAAGGAAGUCACAUGUGCGAGCCGCUUUCUUAGUGUGAAUCGCUGCUUGCCCCCCCCCAAGCUAUACACUAUGCCUGACCUCGGAGGCUGCCUUUCUUCUCCGUGCAGUGACCUACAGUAUGGGAGGGAGGAAGAAAAGGGGAUUGUGGACCAACGUACACACAAAAUGAAGAGAUGAUGCUGUGACUGUAGCUGAAUAUAUUUUAUAUUUCACUGGAAGCUCUUUAAUUUGGCAACAGGAUUGCCUGCUGCUAUUGGAGCGGCAGGGAAAAGCUUCUGGCAGAGCGUGUUGCUGCACUGCUGUUCCCCCAUCUGGAAGUGAGAGUGGCAAUGCACAGAGCUGCUUCCGCCCUCACCUGCCAACGUCUGUACCAUAGGUGUUCCCGAAUUGGGGACCCUCGGAAUACAGAGGGUAUAAUGUAUUAUGACAGAAUUUGUCUUUUGAAAAAAUUGAGCUAGUUUUAGUGCCUUUGGCCAUAGCGAAGCAGCCCUUCAUCUCCCCAAGAAAUCUGAAUGUGGUUUUAUGUGACGUUUGUAAGAUUUCUCGCUAUUCUGUUCUUCCUUCACCAUUUUGUACCUUUACCUUGCCACACUCAAACACGCCUGCAAGUUCAGAGUGCAGCCCUGCAGCACCCUCUGGUGUUUGUCAGAGACUUGAAAUGACUAUUCCUAGCAUGACUUCAGAAUGUCGCACUAGCGAGCAUUGCACAGUGCUGGGUUAACAAAGGCACUUAAACUUCCUGUGAAGUCUUUGAAAUCAAAGGAGCCUUUUGUGAAGAGUUGGGGUGAAAGAGGUAUCUGCUCUGAGGUGCUCUGAAUGAGGAGAGCUUUUGUUUUGUGGUGGGUAUUGUACAAAAGAGCCUGUUGUAUGUUCCUAUGGUAUUCCAAGGAAACAAAUAAUAUUGCGUAUUGAAAUUAUCUCAAGAGCAUAUUUGAGCAUUCUAAAAAUGUUUGAGUCAUUUUUUCCUAUGGCCUAUCUUACGUUGCACAUUUAGUUAAUGAUCAGUUGUUACGCAUUUAGUUAUUGAUCAGAAAAUAAUAAUCCUGAAAAAAGCAGCUUUUAACAGACUAGUCUGUGGAGUCCUUAUGCUGUGAAAAGCAGAGAUUUCCAGCAGUUAGAGAUGGGAAUCAUGAACAUCAGCAGUGUUUAACCCCCCUGACCCUUAAAGCAGCACCUUAGAUUUGUUUGAAAUUAUCAGAUGAUUUUUAACUAUGUUUCCAUCUCUAAAAUUAGUUUGUGAGCAAGAAAAACACCCCCACGUUGUCUGUAGCAGCAUUCAGGUUUUGAAAUGCUAAAAUGAUAUGCUACAGUUGCUUGUUGCCAGAACCCUUACCUUGGCCUAGAUAGUAUUUUCUGUGCAUCAUGUUGCAUUGGUUAUAGUGCUGGGUUUUGAUUAUGCUGCAGUUAAAUCUAAAAUGUGAUAUCUUGCCCAGAAGGAACACCUAACAUAAUUUUCCAAAAAUAUUGCUUAUAUUUCUGUAAAAUACUGUGCACACAAGAAUGCCCAAUUAGAUCCUAACUGAGAGUGUCUUUCUAGAUUUUCAUCCUAGAAACCCAAGAUGGAGUAAAAUGGAAACAGUGCCCAGAUGAUAACGGAAUCAUUGAUCGAAAAAAAUUUUCAGCCACUGUGAACGAAGGCCCAUAUUCAAGUAACAUGCUUAAACACCUGCCCAACAUUAAGUGUAUUUGCUUAGUUACUAGCACAAUCAGAGCCUAAAUCUAGCUUAGGAAUUUAUAUGUCUCUCUACCGUCAUUCCACAGCAUCUGAGAACCUCAGUCUUUUAAUGCAUUUAUCUCCUGAGUAAAAUUUGAGUCCCAUAUUUCCUACAUCUUUCCUUACUGUGACAUUAUAUUACUUUAAGCUCUUUAAAACAAUUGGCUGAAUCUUCAGGCUUUGCUAUAAUGACUCGAUUGACUGGAAGAGCAGGAGAACUUGUAGAUUCCACAGGUAAGAGCUGCUUAAGAACAGGUACCCCCAUACAGAAAAUCUGAAUGUAAGACUAGAGUCUGGCAGCAGCAAAUGCUGGAGGUUAAGGUCCAUAGCUGCAGGGUAGCCACGAAUUUUGGAUGCCUUCAUAUUUUAGGUGUCCAUCUUGAGAUGCCAGGUGUGUGAUUUUUUUUCCCCAAAAAAAGCUCUGAGGGCCCCAAACUUUGCAUGUGCAGUUCUCACUGGCUUCAAAGAAAGCACCUCUGGAAAUCAAGCCUUUAGUGUUUCAAGGUGAGCAGGGGCAAGCAGUGAAUGUCCCUGAAAGUGAUGAUCUAAAAAUUUUCAGGGUGCAGCUGCUUCCAUCUUCCUGUGAUCAGCAGCCUUUCUGCCUUGGGCAGGCAUCGUGUUUGUUUCCACCAUAGUGGGAACAUUACAGGCACUUCCCUUCCCCAGUGGUUUCUAAUGUAACCCUUUGUGUUCAGUGUUCUCAAGUACUGGAGGAGCAUAAAAAGUACAUUCAUGGGUUCUAGUUCUGGUUUUUCUCAUGGAUAUUCGCACUGGGAUUCAGGUCUGGCUCCCCCUCCUUUAGAGUAGCUAGCUGUACCAACUACAUAAGCAUUAGCAGUCCUUGUGCUCAGGGAUUUAUGUGGACUCUGAUUAGGGCUACUCUCCACAAUGGGCAGGGAAGGCUCUGUGAUUCCCUUCCUAAUAUUAGCACAGGACAAGCCAAAAAACAGACUUACCCAGGACCGCACAAGAAGGCUAUGGCAGAGCUAGGAAUAGAACCCAGCUUGCCUGUCCCCCCCAGGCAUGGAUCUUAAUCCGCGUCCUCCCUGUCCUGUAUACAAGGAAGUUCUCUGCUCUGAUGAUCUGUCGUGACUACUGCAGCUGCUGAGCAGAUUCAUCGCUGAUUGCAAGUGCCUCAGUGCAGGAGGAGAGUGGCUCUGUCUGUUCUCCUGCUAGGCAAUAAGCAAGAUAGGGAAUCGGUGGCUGGAUUGGUACUCUGUAUUGGCUCUGUUGUGGGACAGCUGGGGAGCACCGGCGACUGGGUUCAUGGCUUUCCAGCCAUGGGAAUGAAGGAGGCAGUAGUUGAGUCUGAGAUGAGUCCUCCUUUGGUGAGCAAAGACACUCCUCCCUCAUUUAAAAGGAAGGGGAAGAAAGCAUCAGAUAGGCCUGGCUGUGGGAAGGAGAGUGCAGGAUCAGUGGGUGGUCUCAGUGGGUCAAGGUUGGAGUCCUAGUGGCUCUAUAACCGUGGUCACCAACCGGUAGAUCGCGAUCUACUGGUCGAUCUUAGGGGCUCUAGGAGUCGCUCUUGAGCCCUCGCUGAACUGCGCCUGCACAGUACAUUUAAAUUUGAUUUCCUCAUUUGAGGAGCAGCCACUCACUGAGCAAUAACACAGGUGAGUGGCUGCGCAGAAUGGUGGGAGCUGGGCGGUCAGGAGGGCUGAAACACCCUGGCCAGCUGGCUCUGGCUUUCAGCUGAAAGAGGCUGGCCCCGCACUCCAGCUGAUUGGGUGGCUUCUCUGCGCCUGCCCACGUGGAGCGUGGGGCACCCUGGCUGAGCGCCAUGGCCGACACGGCAUAACCUAUGGGAGGAGCUAGUCAUCCUGGGUCUCAGCAAGGUACAGGUCUCAUUGCCAGUGUUGCUGCACUUUGUCACAGUAACCCAGAGCUAGCCUGUGUUACACCUCUGUGAGCUGGAAAUCACACGCCUAGUGCUAAGUGUAGGCAUCCACUUAGAGUACAUCCACAUUAGCAAAAGGUGUACAAGGAGACAAGUAGGAUAUUGCAGCACUUAAGUGAUCACCUUUUACACUGCACAUUUUGCCUAAUGCACCCUACCUUGUGAGGUCUGGACCCACUUUAAUCCACCCCUUAGGUCACAGAUGAUGUGUGCCUGGCAAAUGCUCUAGAUGCUAAGGCUUAAUGGAGACAGGCAAGAGCAUCCUUCUGUCCUUAUGUAACUUACCUUUAACAGUUCAGUGGGGCAACUGAAUUAUAGAACUAUGAAUCCUGAAAAUGUUUCCAUUUCCAAGCCAAAGGGGAAUGAAAUGGGUUUUGUUAAAUAGGCUGAAACCAGUUCAGACAUGUCAUGCUACAGAGUAACAGGCAAGAACAGUGGUUGACAUUCAGGUCCCUGAAGUCAAGAGACCUAGGACAGGUCCUCUGUUAUUCAUUGACUUACCAUUGUCUUGAUGGGUCGCUAUUAUGCAGCUCUUGAUCACAAAGCUCUUAGGGGAAAACAGAGCUAGAGACCUUCUAUUGCUUUUAAAGCAGACACCUGUCCAAUUUAACAGACUAGGUGUGCUAACAAAUGACAGACUUGCUCCUGGCCAAAUACAAAAACCUAGAUAAGAAGUCUGACAGCACUUGGAGUUAUGUUUAAAAUCCUGUGAGACUUGCAGGUGGAUUUCGCCGAGGGAACAACAGCCACGGAUCAGCAGAGUCCAGGCUAGAGCUAACCCCGGCAACAGGAAAGCCGUUCUAACCAUUUCUAUUCAGAAAAUGGCCAUCACAGCUGGAGUGGAAAGAAAACACAGAUCACAAGUCUGUUUAUUGAACUGAUACUUACACAGACGGCACCACAUGUGCUAUACCAUUGAAGACAAAAGGCCAUUAGAUAAAAUAAUAGAAUGGGAUUUGUUCCACUCUGCAUACUGUUCAUCUAGAAACGAGGUGUAUAAGAACAGUGGAAAUGACUUACACUUGGUGCUCUGAAGAAGAGACUCAGAAAUGGUAAAAAUAAGGAUGUCAGUUUUGCCCUAUGUUCUGGCAGUGGCCACGAUCCCAUCCUGAUGAUAGAAAUGAAGCACUGUUUAUCAUCCAUGUAUCCUUGUCCAUUCACUCACUUCAUGGAAUCCAGUAGCUGUUCUAGGUUGCCUAGCUUAUGAAUUUCAUAUUUCAAGACGAUCAUCUCACUAGAAUGAACAAAAUCUGAGGGAAAACUCUGCUAGCUGGGAACUGGAGAGGUUCAAGAAUUUCAAAUCUCUUUGGCAAUCCAAGCACAGUCAUCUCAUCAGCUCUCUGAGGUUGAAAGAUCAAGGAUUUGAUUUCUGGACACUUAUUUGAGGAAGAAGUUUAAUUCAGAUGUGCUAAUAACCCUCACUUUACCAUCUAAAAAAAAGUAGUGGAGGAUUUGCAUUGUUAUGUUCAGGAAAGAGUAUUGGCAGUAUUCAGAGCAAGAUGAGAUAUAUGGAUCUUAAUAUCUCAACACUUCAUAUCCACGAUGUACUCUUCAGAGAUCUCUUUUUUUUAUAACAGGAAGAGAACUAUGAAAGAAUCUUCUAAAGCCCGACAUUAAGAGCUGUGCACAAUGGGCCACACAAAAGCAGAAAUGGUGUUUAAGUUAAUAAGGAAGCAUCUCUGGGGGGUAAAGAAUGUUUUUAAAUGUAUCCUGUAGCCUCAAGGCCAGUGAGAUGGUGAGAAGUGAAUCUGCAUCUUAUCAUGGGCCCUUAAAUUAGCUUGAUGCCCUUAUUCCACUGCUAUCUCCUUAUAUCUCCAGUUAUCUAAAUGAGGUAUCUCGAUGAAAAUUACAAUACCCAUAAUCGAAAACCCUUGGGAACAAUGAAACACCUUCAUUUGUAACUGAUUCCAUCUACGGCAGUGUUUCUUAAACUUUUUAAGAUGGAGAAACACCAAACAAUAUUUUUUUUAAAUGAAGAACACCAAGGAUUUUUUGUUGAGCAAAAAAAAUAAAUAAAAAAAGGUUGGGGAGAAAGCUAUUGAACCAAAAAAAAAAAAAAAAAGCUUGCCUGCCCCUUUAAGGGCAGCCACUUUGAACUCUGUUUUUCUCCGAGGCACACAUCUGACUGCCUUGUGACACACCAAUGUACAGUGGAACACAGUUUAAGAAACACUGAUCUUUGUGGAAAUGGGUAGAGAGGUGGAAUCUUGUUUUUUGCUCUCUGGUCUUAUACCCAGAGAUCAUAGUGUGUCUUGAUACCACAUGCAAAGGCAAAACUUGACACAGUCCUGAAACUGAACCGUUGUGGGAGCAGUGGAGGUGUAAGCUACACACCCGCACCAGCCUUCCAUCUUGCAAGUCUUCCAGUAAACCCUCUUCACUAAUCAGCCCCAGCACCCAGCAACCUAUCACCUAUGCCAGGGUGCUCCAAACUUCCUGUUGUUUUUCCCUGGGUCCAAAAUCCCAUGAGCUUUUCUAUCAGCCAGAGAUUGUAGAAUAUAGUGAGUCACGGGAUGAUUUUCUGUGCGUUUCAACAGAAAUGAAUCAUAACCACUAAUCUGGUUGAUGAAGCAAAGGCAUAGAAAGACUGAAGAGGCUUUUACAAACCAACAUGUUUAUAAAUUGUAAUGUUGUUGUUACUUGUCUUCCUCCAGUGUUUAUACUAAUAAAAAAGAAUUUGCCUCAGGUUCUGUGGUGGGAAGAUCAGCAAAUUCUCAUAAGAGCUCCUGAGCUGCUUCAUGGCCAAAUUCUAUCUGGGAUCUGUCAAACCUGUGCUACUGUGCAUGAUAGAUACCGAGGGGUCAUUAUGUACUAGUGCAAGGCAUAGGAGUACUAAAAGUCCAUUCGAGAUGCAAAAACAAACAAUAUUUAGGAGUCUGUCAGUUUCCGAUACCAAGCAACAGGAAUCACGUCUCUAUCUAGAAGAAGGAAGCAAGGACACGGGAAAGUGAGGAUGGGUUAAAGUCUUGGGUAGUAGUGAUGGGAGAGAGGGAACCAAGUAGUAGAAAGGGAAAAAGUUGGCUGGGUCUGAGGUUUUGCAUGCAAAACAAAAUUGAUAUUACAGGAGAUACGUUUUAUUCAGAAAAGAAGCUUAAAGGGAGCACAAGUGAGCUUGAUUUAACUCAGCUCUGCAUUCCUGAGCAGUGUGUGGAAAUUUACAUGGAUGUUUUGCUGUUUAUUUAGAACAGGGGUCUCCAAACUACGGCCCGGGGGCCGGAUGCGGCCCGCGAGGCCCUCUCAUC